CCUACGGGUGGCUGCAGUGGGGAAUAUUGGACAAUGGGCGAAAGCCUGAUCCAGCCUUGCCGCGUGUGUGAAGAAGGCCUUCGGGUUGUAAAGCACUUUCAGUGGGGAAGAAAGCCUUGGGGCUAAUACCCUCGAGGAAGGACAUCACCCACAGAAGAAGCACCGGCUAACUCCGUGCCAGCAGCCGCGGUAAUACGGAGGGUGCGAGCGUUAAUCGGAAUUACUGGGCGUAAAGCGCGCGUAGGCGGUCUGAUAAGCCGGUUGUGAAAGCCCCGGGCUCAACCUGGGAACGGCAUCCGGAACUGUCAGGCUAGAGUGCAGGAGAGGAAGGUAGAAUUCCCGGUGUAGCGGUGAAAUGCGUAGAGAUCGGGAGGAAUACCAGUGGCGAAGGCGGCCUUCUGGACUGACACUGACGCUGAGGUGCGAAAGCGUGGGUAGCAAACAGGAUUAGAUACCCCUGUAGUC
rnacentral:rRNA from 1 species